UACGAAGGGUGCAAGCGUUAAUCGGAAUUACUGGGCGUAAAGCGUGCGUAGGUGGUUUCUUAAGUCUGCUGUGAAAGCCCUGGGCUCAACCUGGGAAUGGCGGUGGAUACUGAGGAGCUAGAGUGCGGUAGAGGAGGGUGGAAUUCCCGGUGUAGCGGUGAAAUGCGUAGAUAUCAGGAGGAAUACCGAUGGCGAAGGCAGCCCCCUGGGUCGAUACUGACGCUCAUGCACGAAAGCGUGGGGAGCAAACAGG
rnacentral:rRNA from 1 species